rnacentral:misc_RNA from 1 species
ACAUACGUACAUGCGUAAUUAGCAUAUUCGGUCGACGUAACGAUGAGUUGCUAUCAACAACCUAGCCAACGACAAUUUGUUUCAAUUGCGGAUUACGGUAUCAGGAAGGAACGAAUUCGCGGAUACGAAGAACGGGACGAGCGGUUUAUUCAUUCGACUGUGGCCGGGUUCGUACGCCAUUGGUGCAUAUUUCGCACGUGUGACAUCAUUCGCGUGAUGUAAUCGCACGUCGAGCGACUCCCACACGAUCUCAGGACGUAAAGCAACGAGUUGUUCACGGUACACGUCUGGAAAUAAGCGGGCCCGUGCUCUUGAUCCACGUCCUUCAAAGUUCCCUCGAUUCCAGCAAGUGCACGGCGACUAAUAUAUCACGACCUUACGACGUAUUCGCGCGGGUAGCCGUGCAAAAAUUCAAGGAAAACCACGGUAAAUGGAUACGGGCGUCGUUCUUUCACGAUGACAUCUCGUUGCUGAGCGCGCAGCGGAGUUUCAGCCAAGUGAGAGAACGCCUUAAGGCCACAUGGAUAUCUCUUAACACUUUGACUUUGUAUUUUUAUUAUUCAAAGCAUACAAUGACAAAAUAAUAACAAAUUGACGAUCUAAGACAACAUUCUUCUCCAAUGGACAGUUUAUCUUAUUGGUGGUCACGGGUGACCACCGUAACGCUUUGGUAACAGUUGGUAGCGACAUAUCAUAACAAGGCUUCGUUUAUUUCAACAAACCAUUCGCAUUCGUUAUUUCGUCGUAAGCAAAACGUGCAGAAUAUAUCGUUGAAACGUGUAGAAGAUAUUGGUAAACGGUAUUUGCUUAUUCUAUAUAUAAUAGUAAGAUAUGUUCACACUUCUAACUUCAAUUAUAUGAUUAUAAAGCAGCAUUUACGAUUAUUUUUUAAGGUGUGUUUAUAAUAAUAUUCGUAGAUUACCCCUGAAAGAUAUGGAUGCAAACACAGUGCACCGUUAGAUGCAAGAUUUGUUCUCAUUUUUUUUUUAUCGAUGUUCUAAUGAAAAUAUUUAAUUGUUCAAUGGGACACAUUUUAUUUCAAAGUAUCUUCUAUUUAUCGGCUAUAUUCAAAAUGUCCUAACUGUCAAUUUUCAUUCAAUUUUUACGAUUGUAAGAAGUUCAAGCGCUCCGGUCACCAAUGACCACCGUUGCGUCACAGGAGAAACCAUGGCCGGUCGAAAUGUUAACGAAGAAAAAUUCUGUUUCGAGUAGGAUACUAGGAGAUUACCGGGCACGUGUGUUAGCCAGAAAGAAGAAAAAUUGCCUAGUUCUGUUCCUGCACGCGUUGCUUAACCUUUGA